GGAUCUCACGAGGGUGCUGCAGACCCGCUGAUAGGUAGAUCAGUUUUAGAAUGAAGAAUCCCCAAUUCCUUAGAUCCCAGAAAGACUGGUCCAGCCAGCCGUACCUCUUCCACUCACUGAGAAGAAGAGAGAGAAGAACAGAAAAAACAGACUGACAGCUGACAGAAUUGGAAAAGCUACAUCCACCACAGACUACAACAACAAGAAUCGCUAACACUGGUGCUAUUCAGUCAAAUUUGUUUAGACUUAUUACUGCUAAUA